rnacentral:rRNA from 1 species
UACUAGAGUAGCACUCGCAUAUCAAUAAGCGGAGGAAAAGAAACUAACAAGGAUUCCCCUAGUAACGGCGAGUGAAGCGGGAAGAGCUCAAAUUUGAAAUCUUAAAGGGUUUCCCUUUACGAAUUGUAGUUUAAAGAAGUGUUUUCUGUUGAGGUUUUGGUAAGAGUUCUUUGGAAUAGGACAUCAUAGAGGGUGAGAAUCCCGUAUUUGACCUUUACUUUCAACUUUGUGAUACACUUUCAAAGAGUCGGAUUGUUUGAGAAUGCAGUCCAAAAUGGGUGGUAAAUUUCAUCUAAAGCUAAAUAUUGGCGAGAGACCGAUAGCGAACAAGUACCGUGAGGGAAAGAUGAAAAGAACUUUGAAAAGAGAGUUAAACAGUACGUGAAAUUGUCAGAAAGGGAAGCGUUUGACACCAGUGUUGUUUUUCUGAAAAUCAAUUAAAGAACUGUUUAUGCUAAGCUGUUUAGACUUUAUCAGCUAUCUGUUUAGUUUUGAGCUUUUCUUUAAUGCACUUUUCAGUUAACAAGUCAACAUCAAUUUCUUUUGCUGUAAAAAAGCUUGAGGAAGGUGGCUUGAGAUUCGUCUUAAGUGUUUAUAGCCUCUUGCCUAUGCAGUCGGAGAGAUUGAGGUCUGCAGCGUAGAUCCUUCGGGGCUAAAUGCAUUUGUGCUAAGUUAUAGCAUUUUAUAGACAACUUGUUGACUAUGAUUUGUCUUGUAGCUUACUCGCUUAUGUUAUUUUACCUACGCUUAGGAUGUUGAGCGCAUGUCUCUCUCU